rnacentral:rRNA from 1 species
GUACUAAGGUAGCAUAAUCAUUUGCCUUUUAAUUGAAGGCUAGUAUGAAAGGACACACAAGAAUAAAGCUGUCUCUUUUGGGCUAACUUUAAACUGAUCUUUAGGUGAAGAAGCCUAAAUCACCCCCAUAAAGGACAAGAAGACCCUAUAGAGCUUUAUCAAUAAAAGUUAUUAAACUUAUUUAUUGAUUUGGUUGGGACAACCAAAAGACAAUAAUACCUCUUUUUUAAAUUCGACAACCCACACCCACAACUGAAUUAGAAUUUCAAGCUACCUUAGGGAUAACAGGCUAAUCCCAUUAGAGAGAUCACAUUGACAAUGGGGAUUGGCACCUC